CAGCUCUCCGAGUGGUAGGGAUGAUUAUUUGGCCUAAAGCGUCCGUAGCCGGCCGUGUAAGUCUCCCGUUAAAUCCAGCGUCUCAAGCGUUGGACUGCGGGAGAUACUGUACGGCUAGAGAGUGGGAGAGGUCAGCGGUAUUCUGGGGGUAGGGGCGAAAUCCUUUGAUCCCCGGAGGACCACCAGUGGCGAAGGCUGCUGACUAGAACACGUCUGACGGUCAGGGACGAAAGCUGGGGUAGCGAACCGGAUUAGAUACCCGAGUAGUCC
rnacentral:rRNA from 1 species